ACUCCUACGGGAGGCAGCAGUGGGGAAUAUUGCACAAUGGGCGCAAGCCUGAUGCAGCCAUGCCGCGUGUAUGAAGAAGGCCUUCGGUUGUAAAGUACUUUCAGCAGUGAGGAAGGUGGUAGUGUUAAUAGCACUAUCAUUUGACGUUAGCUGCAGAAGAAGCACCGGCUAACUCCGUGCCAGCAGCCGCGGUAAUACGGAGGGUGCGAGCGUUAAUCGGAAUUACUGGGCGUAAAGCGCAUGCAGGUGGUUUGUUAAGUCAGAUGUGAAAGCCCGGGGCUCAACCUCGGAAUUGCAUUUGAAACUGGCAGACUAGAGUACUGUAGAGGGGGGUAGAAUUUCAGGUGUAGCGGUGAAAUGCGUAGAGAUCUGAAGGAAUACCGGUGGCGAAGGCGGCCCCCUGGACAGAUACUGACACUCAGAUGCGAAAGCGUGGGGAGCAAAACAGGAUUAGAUACCCUGGUAGCACA
rnacentral:rRNA from 1 species